rnacentral:rRNA from 1 species
GACGAACGCUGGCGGCGUGCCUAAUACAUGCAAGUCGAACGCUUUGAUUUUCACCGGAGCUUGCUCCGCCGAAAAUCAAAGAGUGGCGGACGGGUGAGUAACACGUGGGCAACCUGCCCAACAGAGGGGGAUAACACUUGGAAACAGGUGCUAAUACCGCAUAAUUUGUUUUUCCGCAUGGAAGAAUAAUAAAAGACGCUUCGGUGUCACUGUUGGAUGGGCCCGCGCUGCAUUAGUUAGUUGGUGGGGUAACGGCCUACCAAGACCAUGAUGCAUAGCCGACCUGAGAGGGUGAUCGGCCACACUGGGACUGAGACACGGCCCAGACUCCUACGGGAGGCAGCAGUAGGGAAUCUUCGGCAAUGGACGAAAGUCUGACCGAGCAACGCCGCGUGAGUGAAGAAGGUUUUCGGAUCGUAAAACUCUGUUGUUAGAGAAGAACAAGUGAGAGAGUUACUGUUCUCACCUUGACGGUAUCUAACCAGAAAGCCACGGCUAACUACGUGCCAGCAGCCGCGGUAAUACGUAGGUGGCAAGCGUUGUCCGGAUUUAUUGGGCGUAAAGCGAGCGCAGGCGGUUUCUUAAGUCUGAUGUGAAAGCCCUCGGCUCAACCGAGGAAGGUCAUUGGAAACUGGGGAACUUGGGUGCAGAAGAGGAGAGUGGAAUUCCAUGUGUAGCGGUGAAAUGCGUAGAUAUAUGGAGGAACACCAGUGGCGAAGGCGACUCUCUGGUCUGUAACUGACGCUGAGGCUCGAAAGCGUGGGGAGCAAACAGG